AAAAGGAACAAUAACUCAGUUCCCCGCGUAACGUACAAAAAAUUGGAAGGGCCUCUGGCACCGAGGGCAUUAUCCGAGUUCUCGAGACAAAUAAAGUACCGGAAAAGCGAAAUGGAAAAAAGAAGAUUAGACCCCUGGUUAUAGAACUCUAUAAGUAAAGUAGGAGGGUUGGAGGGCCAGUGUCCUUUUCUGACCCAGUCAACCAUAAAGCAGUCCGCCGGGGGAGGCGGUGGCAAGGAAAAACUCAAAUGAAUUGAAGGGGGGCCGCACAAGCGGUGGAGCAUGUGGUUUAAUUCGAUGCAACGAGAAGAACCUUACCUACUCUUGAGUCCUGUAAGCCACCAGAGAAACGGGUUGUCCUUCUGGGGAACUUAAAACAAGCUGAAUAACUGGUGUUCGUCUUGUUUUGAAAAAUGUGGGUAAAAGUCCCAACAAGGGCCCCCCCCUUUAUCUUUUUGCCCCACAUUCAGUUUGGAACUUUAAGAAGACUUCCGGUGACAAACCGGAGGAAGGUGGGGAUGACGUCAAACAUCAUGCCCUUGUGGGAAAAGUACACCGGUUCUACAAUGGGGUGUACAGAGGGCAGCCAACCCAGGGAUGGAGGAACCUCAAAAAGUUAGGAUUCGCAUUGUAGGCUGCCACUCGCCUCUAAGAGUGUAAUUUAUUAGUUAUAGGAAACCCCAAUGCAGGGUGAAAUUCUUGCCGAGCCUUGUUCACAACACACCUCUCCCCCAGGGGGGUGGGCUCCCCCGAAGAGGUUGGGUUCACCUCCGG
rnacentral:rRNA from 2 species